CUUAUUAAAAUAUCUUAGUGAGAUUGAUGCACCUUUCAAAAACACAAAAUCAGAAAAAGAAAGAAGGUCCCCAUCAGAAUUGAACAAAUCGGAAACAAAAAAAGAUAUUUUGAUUCACCCAUUCAAUGAAACAGAGUGAUUUGUUACCAGACAAUAUAUUUUCAUUGUUCCAAAGAAUACACGUGUGCGGGGAGAAAUUAUGUUUAAAAGCAAUCUUCCAGGAUUCUAGGGCUUGUUUAUGAAAAUUUUUAUUGUCUUGUAA